UACGUAGGGCGCAAGCGUUGUCCGGAAUUAUUGGGCGUAAAGAGCUCGUAGGCGGCUUGUCACGUCGGAUGUGAAAGCCCGGGGCUUAACUCCGGGUCUGCAUUCGAUACGGGCUGGCUAGAGCGUGGUAGGGGAGAUCGGAAUUCCUGGUGUAGCGGUGAAAUGCGCAGAUAUCAGGAGGAACACCGGUGGCGAAGGCGGAUCUCUGGGCCAUUACUGACGCUGAGGAGCGAAAGCGUGGGGAGCGAACAGG
rnacentral:rRNA from 1 species